GAUGAACGCUGGCGGCGUGCCUAAUACAUGCAAGUCGAGCGAACAGACGAGGAGCUUGCUCCUCUGACGUUAGCGGCGGACGGGUGAGUAACACGUGGAUAACCUACCUAUAAGACUGGGAUAACUUCGGGAAACCGGAGCUAAUACCGGAUAAUAUAUUGAGCCGCAUGGUUCAAUAGUGAAAGACGGUUUUGCUGUCACUUAUAGAUGGAUCCGCGCCGCAUUAGCUAGUUGGUAAGGUAACGGCUUACCAAGGCAACGAUGCGUAGCCGACCUGAGAGGGUGGUCGGCCACACUGGAACUGAGACACGGUCCAGACUCCUACGGGAGGCAGCAGUAGGGAAUCUUCCGCAAUGGGCGAAAGCCUGACGGAGCAACGCCGCGUGAGUGAUGAAGGUCUUCGGAUCGUAAAACUCUGUUAUUAGGGAAGAACAAAUGUGUAAGUAACUAUGCACGUCUUGACGGUACCUAAUCAGAAAGCCACGGCUAACUACGUG
rnacentral:rRNA from 1 species